rnacentral:rRNA from 1 species
UGCCAGACUCCUACGGGAGGCAGCAGUGGGGAAUAUUGCACAAUGGGGGAAACCCUGAUGCAGCGACGCCGCGUGGGCGAGGAAGUACCUCGGUAUGUAAAGCCCUAUCAGCAGGGAAGAAACAGGACAGUACCUGACUAAGAAGCCCCGGCUAACUACGUGCCAGCAGCCGCGGUAAUACGUAGGGGGCAAGCGUUAUCCGGAAUUACUGGGUGUAAAGGGAGCGUAGACGGUGAUGCAAGUCUGGAGUGAAAGGCGGGGGCCCAACCCCCGGACUGCUCUGGAAACUGUGUAACUUGAGUGCAGGAGAGGUAAGCGGAAUUCCUAGUGUAGCGGUGAAAUGCGUAGAUAUUAGGAGGAACACCAGUGGCGAAGGCGGCUUACUGGACUGUAACUGACGUUGAGGCUCGAAAGCGUGGGGAGCAAACAGGAUUAGAUCCCCUAGUA